GAUGAACGCUGGCGGCGUGCCUAACACAUGCAAGUCGAGCGAACAGACGAGGAGCUUGCUCCUCUGACGUUAGCGGCGGACGGGUGAGUAACACGUGGAUAACCUACCUAUAAGACUGGGAUAACUUCGGGAAACCGGAGCCAAUACCGGAUCAUAUAUUGAACCGCAUGGUUCAAUAGAGCAAGAGGGCUUUGCUGACACUAAUAGAUGGUUCCGCGCCGCAUUAGCUAGUUGGUAGGGUAACGGCUUACCAAGGCUACGAUGCGUAGCCGACCUGAGAGGGUGAUCAGCCACACUGGAACUGAGACACGGUCCAGACUCCUACGGGAGGCAGCAGUGGGGAAUCUUCCACAAUGGGCGAAAGCUUGACGGAGCAACGCCGCGUGAGUGAUGAAGGUCUUCGGAUCGUAAAGCUCUGUUAUUAGGGAAGAACAAAAGUGUAAGUAACUAUGCACGUCUUGACGGUACCUAAACAAAAAGCCACGGCUAACUACGUG
rnacentral:rRNA from 1 species